UACGUAGGGGGCUAGCGUUGUCCGGAUUUAUUGGGCGUAAAGAGCGUGUAGGCGGCCAGGUAGGUCUGCUGUGAAAACUCGAGGCUCAACCUCGAGACGUCGGCGGAAACCGUCUGGCUAGAGUCCGGAAGAGGAGAGUGGAAUUCCUGGUGUAGCGGUGAAAUGCGCAGAUAUCAGGAAGAACACCUAUGGCGAAGGCAGCUCUCUGGGACGGUACUGACGCUGAGACGCGAAAGCGUGGGGAGCGAACAGG
rnacentral:rRNA from 1 species